rnacentral:misc_RNA from 1 species
UCAAACUUGGUCAUUUAGAGGAAGUAAAAGUCGUAACAAGGUUUCCGUAGGUGAACCUGCGGAAGGAUCAUCAUUGAAUAUAAUGUAUUUUCAAGCUUGGAAGGGGGGGAGGAGGAAGGGGGGAAAGGGAUGUUUCUCUUUCUCUCUUUCACUCUUUUGUUCUUCUGGCUUGCAAACAACUUUAAUACCCAAACAGAGCUUCGCCUAUCUUUAUCUUCAGCUUUUCAGCUCUCCGGCUCAUUUAUUUGAGCUGGUCGCUGGGAAGAGGGGGAGAGAGAGAAGGGGAACGGGGGAAACCCCAGAAUAACACAUGUAGUUGCCUGAUAAAAAAAAGAGUUUGGUUUUUGGGAAUGAAAAUUGAAACAACUUUCAACAACGGAUCUCUUGGCUCUCACAUCGAUGAAGAACGCAGC